UACAGAGGUCUCAAGCGUUGUUCGGAUUCAUUGGGCGUAAAGGGUGCGUAGGCGGCGCGGUAAGUCGGGUGUGAAAUCUCGGGGCUUAACUCCGAAACUGCAUUCGAUACUGCCGUGCUUGAGGACUGGAGAGGAGACUGGAAUUUACGGUGUAGCGGUGAAAUGCGUAGAUAUCGUAAGGAAGACCAGUGGCGAAGGCGGGUCGUCUGGACAGUUCCGUGACGUGAGGCACGAAGGUCAGGGGAGCAAACGGG
rnacentral:rRNA from 1 species